GAUGAACGCUGGCGGCGUGCCUAAUACAUGCAAGUCGAGCGAACAGACGAGGAGCUUGCUCCUCUGACGUUAGCGGCGGACGGGUGAGUAACACGUGGAUAACCUACCUAUAAGACUGGGAUAACUUCGGGAAACCGGAGCUAAUACCGGAUAAUAUAUUGAACCGCAUGGUUCAAUAGUGACAGACGGUUUUGCUGUCACUUAUAGAUGGAUCCGCGCCGCAUUAGCUAGUUGGUAAGGUAACGGCUUACCAAGGCAACGAUGCGUAGCCGACCUGAGAGGGUGAUCGGCCACACUGGAACUGAGACACGGUCCAGACUCCUACGGGGGGCAGCAGUAGGGAAUCUUCCGCAAUGGGCGAAAGCCUGACGGAGCAACGCCGCGUGAGUGAUGAAGGUCUUCGGAUCGUAAAACUCUGUUAUUAGGGAAGAACAAAUGUGUAAGUAACUAUGCACGUCUUGACGGUACCUAAUCAGAAAGCCACGGCUAACUACGUG
rnacentral:rRNA from 1 species